AUCAGCAAGGAAAAAGUCUUUCUACUAGAAAAUGCUGCAAAGACAUGAUGAAUCUAAUUUAUCUGUUGAGUUUAUAGACAACAGGAAACACAUGGCAAGAUGAAACAGUGAGCAGGAGGGCAUGGACUGACAUGAACACGCCACAGAGAAUCCCAGCAGAGCAUACAACAGUGGCACUUCCCAUAGACUGUUCCGGAGACAGUCAGAUACCAUGACAACAGGUAUCAGUGUUGAAGGCUGGACAAUUAUUCAACAAAAUAUUUGAGAGGUGACUAGUGAGGUCAGACAAAACGGUAGACACGUUUUAAUUAUUUUGUAACAUCUACCGAUCUGCUCCUUUCUGUAUUGCCUAAUACAAGUAUAUUUAUGUCAUCCUUAUUCUGGGCUAUGCUGGUGUAAUCCAGACACUGAAAGAUGAGCA